CCCGUGGACACGGGCUGGGGGCUCCGGACUUGGGGCUGGCGGGAACUUUAGUUGCGGUCUGGCAUAAGGGUCCGCUUUCCCGUGGGGAUGGGACUCGGUCCAAACCCACUAAACAGUUCGUUUGGCGAAAAUCUUUACAACUCAAGUCGCAAAAUGCUUCCCUGUAGGACACAUGAAUACCAGAUCUUUAAAAUGAAAGCACUGCUGAAAGCCUUGCAGAGGAGCUUUGCUUGGCAAGCUUGAGCAAUGAAGGCUUUCAAUAAAGAAAAUAUAUUGUCUUCCAACUGGAUGCAAAAAAUAGAGCUGAAUUGUCGCUUCCUAAAUGUAUCCUGAUUCCUGGCUUUCAGUUAGGAGAGCUUUUAGUGGCGUUCAAGUGCCACGGCCAUCAUGUUCUCUAAAUAUCUCCUAAUCCUGAGGCAAGCCGAAGUCUGUUGGUGUUCAGUGGGUUUUGUACAUGUAGGGCAUAGGCGUACUUCAUUCUUACUUCAUAUUUACUUUAUGUUGAUACAAAUUCAAUGCUUCUGCUCAGCCCUGUGUUUUGGCAGAGUGCUCUCUUGCAGCGGAACUGGGGGGACCUUCUAAAUGAAGCUAACAAGUAAAAUAUGCUUUGAAAUGGAGUGCAGAUGGGAAGCCUCUUAAGUAUUGUGUUGCACAACAGUGUGCUCUCUGUGUGUGACAUUCAGCUUGCAAAACUCUAGGUUUUAUGAAUUCAUCCACAAUCUGAGCUGGUCCCUGUGCUAUUCAGAAAUACUGUGCAUUGAUGUGUGGAACAGCAGCGGUUCUGAUGAGAGAGGUUAAUUCAUCUCUCUCCUGACAGCGCUUUUGAUGCCUGACACCUCCGGUCAGCGUGUUUGUUAGAGAUGUGUGUGUGCUCUAAGUUUUUAAUUCCAAAACAAUUCUCAAAUUGUUGAAUAAGAAGAGUAACUGGUGUUUGCUGGCUCAGGUAGGUGGUGUCUUAACUUUCCUUGAGCUGUUUUGUGAGUUAUGCAGCUGUCUCUUGCAUCUUAAUGUGUUACUGUGGAUUGCCAUUUCCUACUGACUGAUAGUAAUAGAUAGAUAGUAGCAUCCUCGACAUCAGAAACUGAGGUUCUUUACCCCCACAUCUCACCCUUUCUUCACGGUAGGGAGUGUCUCUGGCUCCAUCUCCUGGCUCAAAAAGAAGAUCCCCCUUCAUGAAGGGGGUAUGGAGAGAUGGGAAGCCUCGUGGUUUUGGUGAAAAGUGAUGAAGGUUUCUUCUUGGACUUGAACAGUGAGACCUGUCACAGCAGGGUUACCUCCGUUUUCUGACUGGGGUGGGAAUUGUCUUCUCACUUUUUUAAUGGAAAGAGAGUGUGUCUCUUAUGUUACUUUUUAUUAGGAUUUGGAAAGAUUUUCGAUGUAGUGACUAAAUUUUAUCAUGGUAUUUAGAAAUUCAUAAUUUAGUAUUUUUAUUACUUGCAUGGAUAUGCUGGAAAGGUUAGUCAUCUCGCCUGAUACAUCUUGUGUGUGGUCUUUUGGUGGAAAUGUAUUAAUGAUGUAUCCUAUAUGUCACGAUUUUUCUUCAUGGUCAGGAAAACGUGUUGCCUGCAAAUUCUUAAUCCAUUUGAAAUAGAAAACCUGUAGCAGAAUGGAAGGAUCUUGCUGUGAUUUAGAGCCUAUACAUAUACUAUGAGUGUGAGCAGAGGUAAUCCUGUUCUGCAAACACAGAUCCACAGAGAAGAGGAUCCUUCCUUCAUGGAGGACCUUCUGUAUGCCUUGUCUUUAGUGCAGAGCAACUUUCUUCAAGUGCAGCUGGCAGGAGGAAAGAACUUAAGCAGGCUGUGGAAUCAGGAUACCUGUCCUACCCCUGACAGCCAGGCUUCUGUACUUACUCACCAUACCCCAGAGUGAAAGGAGAAGGUGGCAGACUGUUCUGACACUGAUCAUCGGUCCUUGAGAUGCUGUUGGUGGGGAACAGAGCAAUAAGGCAGCCUGGCAGCAGGGGAUCCCAGGGAAGCAGACAGCUUCUGGUGGGUUGUGGUGCCCCAAGGUUUCUCUCUGGUCAGUCAGAACCCUUCUCUUGAGGCUGAACAUUGGUGAGUCUCUGAAAGCAUGUUAUGUCCAGAGUCCACUGCAGCAGGGAAGAAAGAUGCUUCUCGGCAGAUUUACUGUAUACCAUCUGAGGUCUGCACUUGGCUUUUGACCAUGCUUCAUGCCUGCUGCAGCCACAGAGCCACCGCCACCACUAACCUUCCAAGGCUGAGCUGAAUUAUUUUCUGACUCGCAUAUCGCCAAGAGACGCAUCAGCUACAAGAGAUUCCAGCUGCAGAAUGUGUGUGCGCAGCGUGUCUUGUUCAGAUGUUAUUUCCUUAAUAAAAUUGCUCAUUUGGUGUGAA